AAGUGUCAAGAUCCCCCAAAACAAGACAAGACUAAACAAGACAAGACUAAAAAACUGUCAUAGAUCAGAGAAGAAUGGAGAGACCUGGUGACUAAAUGCUUUGGGCUAUCCUGGAUUGGAUUCUAGAAUAGCAAAUAAGGAACUUUCAGUAAAUACUUUUGUAAUUGCCCAUGAGUUGUCAAGCACUCAUGAGAUGAAGUUCCAACUCUACAGAUGAAAGCCCUGUUUUUGAAUCAAGCACUUCAUGAGUAAGGAUUUCACAAAGCUGCAAAAUCUGCUCUUGAGAACCCCUGACAACUAAAUAUUCCAUGGCUUCCACUGAUAAUCAUGCUGUCAGUUAAGUAUUUUGCUUUUUUUAAACAGCUGGGUAUAUUUUUUUCUCUAUGAAAUUCUGUUAAAAGGCUUGUCAUAUACCAGGAGGUAUCAACAAUCACCAAGCUCUCGUGCAUUAACUACCUGUUUCACCUCCAUUGAGGAUAUGUCUCAGGUCAAUAAUUGGAUCUAUGGAACCUGGCUGUGAUAAAUACCAAGGAAUUCUAUGCCAGUUCACAGCAGUAAGAGUGCAGAAGUGCCAGGAGCUGAUGUGCCCAAGAACUGAGCCCAAGUCUUAGCACAAGAUCUCCAUCCAUCAAAU
rnacentral:lncRNA from 1 species